UGUGUAUCAGUAUGUUUCUGUGUGUCCAUAUGUGUGUCUUUGUAUAUAUAUAUGUAUCGGUGUGUCUCUGUGUCUGUUUGUAUAUGUGUAUGUCAAUAUGUGUAUCUGUGUGUAUCUAUGUAUGUGUGUCUGCAUGUCUUUGUAUCUGCGUGUGCGUCAGUGUGUAUCUGUAUGUGUGUCUGUGUAUCUGCAUGUGUGUGUUUGUAUCUGUGUGAGUGUCAUUCUGUUUGAAUGUGUAUC